UACGUAGGGUGCAAGCGUUGUCCGGAAUUAUUGGGCGUAAAGAGCUCGUAGGCGGUCUGUCGCGUCGGUCGUGAAAACCUGGGGCUUAACCCUGAGCUUGCGGUCGAUACGGGCAUGACUGGAGUUCGGCAGGGGAGACUGGAAUUCCUGGUGUAGCGGUGAAAUGCGCAGAUAUCAGGAGGAACACCGGUGGCGAAGGCGGGUCUCUGGGCCGAUACUGACGCUGAGGAGCGAAAGCGUGGGGAGCGAACAGG
rnacentral:rRNA from 1 species